rnacentral:rRNA from 1 species
AUUGAACGCUGGCGGCAGGCUUAACACAUGCAAGUCGAGCGGAGAUGAGGUGCUCGCACCUUAUCUUAGCGGCGGACGGGUGAGUAAUGAUUAGGAAUCUGCCAUUUAGUGGGGGACAACAUUCCGAAAGGAAUGCUAAUACCGCAUACGUCCUACGGGAGAAAGCAGGGGAUCUUCGGACCUUGCGCUAAAUGAUGAGCCUAAGUCGGAUUAGCUAGUUGGUGGGGUAAAGGCCUACCAAGGCGACGAUCUGUAGCGGGUCUGAGAGGAUGAUCCGCCACACUGGGACUGAGACACGGCCCAGACUCCUACGGGCGGCAGCAGUUGGGAAUAUUGGACAAUUGGCGGAAGCCUGAUCCAGCCAUGCCGCGUGUGUGAAGAAGGCCUUUUGGUUGUAAAGCACUUUAAGCGAGGAGGAGGCUACUAGUACUAAUACUACUGGAUAGUGGACGUUACUCGCAGAAUAAGCACCGGCUAACUCUGUGCCAGCCGCCGCCGUAA